rnacentral:rRNA from 1 species
AAAUGAAUUGACGGGGGCCCGCACAAGCAGAGGAGCAUGUGGCUUAAUUCGAUGCAACGCGAAGAACCUUACCUAGGCUUGACAUAUAGCUGCACGAUCUAUGAAAGUAGAUUUCCUUCGAGGGUGCUAUACAGGUGCUGCAUGGCUGUCGUCAGUUCGUGCCGUGAGGUGUUUGGUUAAGUCCACCAACGAACGCAACCCCUUUGAUUAGUUGCCAGCGGGUGAUGCCGGGAACUCUAGUCAUACUGCCUGUUUACGCAGGAGGAAGGUGGGGAUGACGUCAAGUCAGUAUGGCCCUUACGCCUAGGGCUGCACACGUGCUACAAUGGUCGAUUCAGAGGGUAGCCAAGCCGCGAGGCGGAGCCAAUCCCGCAAAGUCGGCCUCAGUUCGGAUUGGGGUCUGCAACCCGACCCCAUGAAGUCGGAUUUGCUAGUAACGGCGUAUCAGCUACGACGCCGUGAAUGCGUUCCCGGGCCUUGUACACACCGCCCGU